rnacentral:rRNA from 1 species
GACGAACGCUGGCGGCGUGCUUAACACAUGCAAGUCGAACGGAAAGGCCCUGCUUGCACGCUACUCGCGUGGGCGACGGGCGGGUGACUCGCGGGUGGACUGCCCUCCACUUCGGCAUAAGCCUGGGAGACUGGGUCUAAUACCUAAUAGGAGCCAUAUUUAGCGUGAUGGUUGGAUAGUUUUUUCGGUGUAUGGUGAGCUCGCGGGCUAUCUGCUUGUUGGUGGGGUAAUGGCCUACCAAGGCGGCGACGGGUAGCCGGCCUGGGUGGGUGGACGGCCACAUUGGGACCGAGGGGCGGCCCAGACUGCGACGGGAUGGAGAAGUGGGGAAGAUUGCACGAUGGGCGCCAGCCUGGUGCAGCGACGCCGCGGGGCGGAUGACGGCCUUCGGGGUGAAAAAUACUUUCGCUAGGAACGAAGCAUUUUGUGACGGUACCUAGAUAAGAAGCCCCGGCUAACUACGUG